CCCCGAUAUCCUCCAUUAGCUCUUGGCUUCUUUGAUUGCUGAUGUUUGCCAAAAUCCCCAUUCCUCUUCUUAUCAGACUUUGACUUCGCCAAUUGUGCAACCCUUUUCCGAAGUGGGUCAAGUGGGUAGUCAGCUUCAAGCUGGUACUCUUCAACACACCUGAUAACAGCCUUCAGUGCUGCAAGCUCUUGCGCAUUUGCAUCACCCUGUCCAGUAGCACCACCAGUGUUUCCACCCUUUCCUUGGGAGUUUCUCCUAGAAUCCUUCAAGUACGUCCUUAGUAGAGGAACUGGUGGAAAACUUUCAGCAAGCUGGAAGGCAUG
rnacentral:misc_RNA from 1 species